GACGAACGCUGGCGGCGUGCUUAACACAUGCAAGUCGAACGGGCCUUGUCCCCUUUUUUUUGGGGGUGGGGUUAGUGGCGAACGGGUGAGUAACACGUGAGUAACCUGCCCCUCACUUCUGGAUAACCGCUUGAAAGGGUGGCUAAUACGGGGUGUUCUGGCCUGCUCGCAUGGGUGGGUUUGGAAAGAUUCGACCGGUUUUGGUUGUUUUGGUUGGGGAUGGGCUCGCGGCCUAUCAGCUUGUUGGUGGGGUGAUGGCCUGCCAAGGCUUUGACGGGUAGCCGGCCUGAGAGGGUGGGCGGUCACACUGGGACUGAGACACGGCCCAGACUCCUACGGGAGGCAGCAGUGGGGAAUAUUGCACAAUGGGCGCAAGACUGAUGCAGCGACGCCGCGUGAGGGAUGGAGGCCUUCGGGUUGUGAACCUCUUUCGCCAGUGAAGAAGGUCCUGCUCUUUGUGGUGGGGUUGACGGUAGCUGGGUUAAUGAAGCGCCGGCUAACUACGUG
rnacentral:rRNA from 1 species